UAGGGAAUCUUCGGCAAUGGACGAAAGUCUGACCGAGCAACGCCGCGUGAGUGAAGGAGGUUUUCGGAUCGUAAAACUCUGUUGUUAGAGAAGAACAAGGACGUUAGUAACUGAACGUCCCCUGACGGUAUCUAACCAGAAAGCCACGGCUAACUACGUGCCAGCAGCCGCGGUAAUACGUAGGUGGCAAGCGUUGUCCGGAUUUAUUGGGCGUAAAGCGAGCGCAGGCGGUUUCUUAAGUCUGAUGUGAAAGCCCCCGGCUCAACCGGGGAGGGUCAUUGGAAACGGGGAGACGUGAGUGCAGAAGAGGAGAGUGGAAUUCCAUGUGUAGCGGUGAAAUGCGUAGAUAUAUGGAGGAACACCAGUGGCGAAGGCGGCUCUCUGGUCUGUAACUGACGCUGAGGCUCGAAAGCGUGGGGAGCAAACAGG
rnacentral:rRNA from 1 species